GGUUUCGUGGUGUAGUUGGUUAUCACGUCUGUCUAACACACAGACGGUCCCCGGUUCGAGCCCGGGCGAAGCCA